CAAGUAACAGUAAGAAAUGUUUAUUGGUCAUCAAGGUCUUAGCGCCAGGGAUGAAGUCAAGUCUUGGCUUGGAUGAUGAUAUGCUUGGCGGAGUUGGUGGCUUUUCUGGAAAGUAAAUCCAGACAAGGAAGAACAGUACUCCUGCACCAUGUAUGGCCCCAUAACGUAGCUAGAAGCAGAGCCCAAGUAUGAGACCAGAGUGGCGAAAGCUGUAGCAGUCAUACGCUCUUCUGGUGGAAACCAUGAGGCUGACAGGACCAGUACACCAACAUUCUGGACCACUGGAGCUGCAAUGGCGAUAAGAAACUCUCCAAAUGUGAUGAGAGUUGUUCGUGCCCAGUACGGAUGAACAGGGAGGAUCUCUAGUACCACACCUACUAGCUGCACUGAUAAGGACGUUACAACUGCUACACGCAGACCUGAAAAUAAGAUAAAUCUAUGUGGCUUUAUAGAAAACAAAAACAAGACUUAAACAACCUCAAAACAAGUGAAAAUUUUAUUUUAAGGGUAGCACUUAAUUAAAAGCACACUUAAUACAGGAUAUCUAAGGGGUUGCUCUGUACAAAAUACAAGGAUAGGCAGUGAAUACGUGUGAGACAUGGCAUGGGCUGGAUCAGAUACAGAAUCAUUAUCUAGUGUGUUUUAUCCCUUUUACUUCUGGGUACUUAUGGAUGUUUGCCAUCUGAGGUUGAUUCAAUGGGAUAAUUCCUUGUUUGAGUUUCACCGAGUGAGAAAGGAAUUUUCUAGUGAAUGGCCACAUACUCUCCAAUGUGGGCCAUAUUUGCUACCCAACCUUAUUCAAAAAUUAUUUUCAGACUUAUUUUGGGUUCCUUGGACCUGGAAAUGUUUUGUUUGUCUUUGGGGCAAAGAGACAUAAAAAAAUGUUAUGAUUGUGGGGGAGGAGUUUGCCUGCCUCUCUGUCAAGGUGUUUCCAAGGCUCCCAUGAUGCAGUGCAGGCAUGCAAUACAGCCUUAACAUGGCGACUCACUUCUAAUUGAGGUUUUAGCAUUGAUUAUUGUGGCUGAUGGCUGUAAAAUGGGACCUGACAGAGCACCAUAAAGGUAUCUAUUUGUGGCUUGAUCUGUGUUUGCUUGUCUCUAUUUGUAGUUCAGAAUUUUUUAUUUUUUUUUUGGUAAGAAAUGUUUCUGAAAUGUUUAAGCAUUUGUUUACGAGUUCAACAAUAGAGUCAAUUUUAUUAAAUUGCUUGGAUGCGCUUUUGAAGGUCGUAUAUGUCUAAGAGGAAUCCAUGGGUAUCCCGGUCUGGUGAUGUUUAGCUCGCUUUAGCUUUCUGACGUUUUGGAUUUGGGCCUAUAUUUUAAGGGCGUAUGGGGACGUUAUAGUAAUGAAAGUGUUAAAGUGUGCAUUAACAUCACAAUCUGCUGCUGUGAAUGUUUGAAGACAAAAAUAAGCUCAAUCAAUGACAAAAACAUGUCAGCAUGUCAUAAACAAAAAAGUAUACAACAAGAAGCAGUUGAGUUGCAUGAAAGAUGCAGUCCAGUUCUGUGACUGUUGUUUAUGACAUACAAAAUUAAGAUCUAUUAAACAGCCAACCUUAUAGGUGGCCAACUGUUUCAAGAUAAGCUAAAUGUAUUAUGUCUAAGCAUUUUUUUUAUUUGUAAAUGUCAAGUAAAACAUUUGAUGAUAAAAACCAAGACGAUUCCUGGCUGGUUGUUAUAUUAUUUGCCUUUUUAAGCCCUAAGUGUAAAAAGUAGAUUUUUAUAAACAACGAAAAAAGAGUAUAAUGAUAGAGACUGUCAUCACCUUCUAUAUAAGGGUAAUAGUCAUAUGUCAUUUGUAAUGAUUGAAUAAACUAAGAUGAGUCAGCAGCUUGAGUAUAUCGUGCGAUAAAAA